rnacentral:sRNA from 1 species
AGAAAGUUCCAGAUCGGUGCUGUGUUUCAUCGGAAAUCUUAAUGGUCAUGUUUCCCAAUUCAAAGUCCGGGAAUUUGAUGUCCUGAUCAAAAAUCAGUGACCUGGAAAUUUGUGGUGGUCGAUUACAAAGACUCUCCAAUGCCAUUGUGUUCCGGGAGAAAGAGACUAUCCAAGUGCAUUGAAGCAGCCUCAGGAAAAAAAAAACUGCUGAUGGUUCACGGUGCUGACGAUCCGCCAGACUCAUCUAGUGAUUCAUAGUAACCUAACAUUUAUAGUGUAUGUCUUGAGAUAUAAGUUAUGGGGUAAUAAUAAAAAUAAAAUGAAAUAUCACCUUUAUGUUUGCUUUGCCAUUCUAUCUUCAUUAAGAAGCGUGCCCUACAAUUUGACUUGUUUACCUACAAUUUGACUUGUUUACCUACAACGAAGCGGAAGAAUGUUCGAUUCUACAGGUUUUACACGAAUCAAUCAGAAAUUUCCAGAUAGAAACAUCAACAUGUUCUUUAAGCGGUUAAAUAAAACAUGGAAAGAGAUGAAAUAUUUGGCGAACCGACGUCCGAGAACUAGUGUAGAACAAUGGCGGGAACUCCAUGUAUCUAAAAUCCCGUAAUUGCUUACAAGAGCUUCAUCAAAGACACACUAUGUGUAUAGAGGAACCUCGAUCGAGGCAAAACAGCCUGCAGAAAGGUGAUUCUGAAGCACAUCACUCAGACACUAGAACUGCUGAUCGUAUCAUGUGGAGGACACACAGUUCCGGGUUCUGUACAAUAAUGCACCAAAGACGUUAUCUCUUAUUCACACAGAUAUUGUAUUUGAUAGGGUUAUCUAUUGACAGAGCUUCAUUGUAUGUUACAAUUCAGUGUUUAUACGCGAGCGUUACUUUUUGAAUUUUUGUGCUGUAAAAACAUUCGAAAAUAGAAUCAAUUUAAUAGUGUUGAUUGCAAAUGAUUGUAAACUAAAAUACUCG